rnacentral:rRNA from 1 species
CCAGACUCCUACGGGAGGCAGCAGUGGGGGAUAUUGGACAAUGGGGGAAACCCUGAUCCAGCGACGCCGCGUGAGUGAAGAAGUAUUUCGGUAUGUAAAGCUCUGUCAGCAGGGAAGAAAGAAAUGACGGUACCUGACCAAGAAGCCCCGGCUAACUACGUGCCAGCAGCCGCGGUAAUACGUAGGGGGCAAGCGUUAUCCGGAAUUACUGGGUGUAAAGGGAGCGUAGACGGUGAUGCAAGUCUGAAGUGAACGCCCGGGGCUCAACCCCGGGACUGCUUUGGAAACUGUGUUGCUGGAGUGCUGGAGAGGCAAGCGGAAUUCCUAGUGUAGCGGUGAAAUGCGUAGAUAUUAGGAAGAACACCAGUGGCGAAGGCGGCUUGCUGGACAGUAACUGACGUUGAGGCUCGAAAGCGUGGGGAGCAAACAGGAUUAGAUACCCCGGUAU